AGAGUUUGAUCCUGGCUCAGAACGAACGCUGGCGGCGUGCCUAACACAUGCAAGUCGAGCGAGAACGCCUGCUUCGGCAGGUUAGUAAAGCGGCGAACGGGUGAGUAACACGUGAGUCACCUACCCUCCAGUAGGGGAUAACACUUCGAAAGGGGUGCUAAUACCGUGUACGGUCCCGACCGUGUCUGCGGAUGGGACGAAAGGUGGCCUCUCUAUAGAAGCUGCCGCUGGAGGAUGGGCUCGCGCCCCAUUAGCUAGUUGGUAGGGUAACGGCCUACCAAGGCAACUAUGGGUAGCUGGUCUGAGAGGACGAUCAGCCACACUGGAACUGAGACACGGUCCAGACUCCUACGGGAGGCAGCAGUGGGGAAUAUUGCACAAUGGGGGAAACCCUGAUGCAGCAACGCCGCGUGCGGGAUGAAGGCCUUCGGGUCGUAAACCGCUGUCAGGGGGGAAGAAAUCGCUCCGGUGAAUAACCGGGGUGGAUGACGGUACCCCCAGAGGAAGCCCCGGCUAACUCCGUGCCAGCAGCCGCGGUAAGACGGAGGGGGCGAGCGUUGUUCGGAAUCAUUGGGCGUAAAGCGCGCGUAGGCGGUCGAGUAAGUCGGACGUGAAAGCCCAGGGCUCAACCCUGGAAGUGCGCUCGAUA
rnacentral:rRNA from 1 species